rnacentral:rRNA from 1 species
UACGUAGGGUGCGAGCGUUGUCCGGAAUUAUUGGGCGUAAAGGGCUCGUAGGCGGUCUGUCGCGUCGGUAGUGAAAACUCAGGGCUUAACCCUGAGCCUGCUUCCGAUACGGGCAGACUAGAGGUAUGCAGGGGAGAAUGGAAUUCCUGGUGUAGCGGUGAAAUGCGCAGAUAUCGGGAGGAACACCGGUGGCGAAGGCGGUUCUCUGGGCCUGACCUGACGCUGAGGAGCGAAAGCGUGGGGAGCGAACAGG